GUGCUUGACUUGGCAGCACAUGUUGGAAUGAAAAUUGGUUCAACUUGGUAAAGAUUAGCAAGGCCUUGCACAAGAAUGACAUGCAAAUUCAUCAGUUGUUCCCUGUCUUU
rnacentral:snRNA from 1 species